UACUCUGGUUUCUCUUCAGAUCGUAUAAAUCUUUCGCCUUUUACUAAAGAUUUCCUUGGAAAUAUGGGACUAUGUGAAAAGACCAAACUUAUGUUUGAUUGGUGUACCUGAAAGUGACAGGGAG
ensembl:snRNA U5 U5 spliceosomal RNA